UAGUGUUACAGCUCUUUUAGAAUUCGUCUAGCAAAUUUUCCUGUCCUCACUGGAAGACCCCC
rnacentral:snRNA from 1 species